AGAAUGAACGUUGGCGGCGUGGAUUAGGCAUGCGAGUCGCGCGAGAACCGUAGCAAUACGGGGACAGCGGCGAAAGGGAGAGGAAUAAGUAGAAAUCUACCCUCGGGACGGGGAUAGCGGCGGGAAACUGCCAGUAAUACCCGAUAACGUCCUUGGACCAAAGGUGUGAUUCCGCCUGAGGAUGAGUCUACUUCCUAUUAGCUAGUUGGUGGGGUAAUGGCCCACCAAGGCAACGAUGGUAGCAGGUGUGAGAGCACGACCUGCCUCAUUGGGACUGAGACACUGCCCAGACACCUACGGGUGGCUGCAGUCGAGAAUCUUCGGCAAUGACGAAAGUCUGACCGAGCGACGCCGCGUGCGGA
rnacentral:rRNA from 1 species